rnacentral:lncRNA from 1 species
CCAGACUACAGCCUGGAGAAGAAAAGACACAAGGGAAUAAGGUCACUGUCUCCAAGACUCAAGGGUAGAGGCAGGAACUGCUGAUGAAGAAUGAUGGAUGUGCUGUGGAAGGCAGUGAGCUUCUUGGCAGAGGAGAGGAGGAAACCAAAGCACUAAGAGCUGGAGGAAGCUGCUGGAGCCGCACCGCGGGAGAGGUGGGGUCUGCACUCAGGCGGGAGGCUCCAGGCCCACAUGCCAGGCACAAGGGAAGCUUGGAAGGCAGGCUCUGGAAUGACCCGGCCCAGCUGCCGUUGUCAGUGGGUAACUCCAGGUCACAGGCAGUGAAGCUGGGAAGAGAACAGAGCCAUCUGGAGAGCAGGACAGAUGAGGACACUCUUUGGAAUUUUCCAAGAAGUAAAAUGUGGCUACAGAGAAAUGGAACAAGUGCUUCCUCAGGGAGCCCUGGGGUGUGCUACUGUUGUCUAGUGACCAGUAUUCAACUGCUUCUCCCAUUGCCCCUCUCUCUGCUGGAUUAUUCAGCAGAUCAGCCACCCCUCAUCACACUCACAUGCUAUAAUAGCUCCACCUUCAAACAAGCAAAUACACAAAACAUCCUCUGACCAUAUGACUUUCCCAGCUACCACCCUUACUCUGCCCUACUUGACAGAAAACUUGAAAGCACUGUGCCUACUACACAUGCUGCCCCAAUCAUGUCUUGGUCCCCGUCACAUCACCCACGGCACUGGGCUGCCAAGCCCAAUGGCCAGUUCUCAGCACGCAUUUGACUUGGCCUAAAGAGAAAGGAUUGGACAUCAGAUUCCUCCCUCGCUUACACACUCUUCCCGUGGCUUCCGGGAGACUGCUCUCCUCUGGGAUUCCUCCUGCCUCCCUGGCACUCUUCGCCAUUUUGCCUCUCCGUCCCGACCCCUAAUGCCGGUGAGCCCUGGGAUGCCCUCUGAGGACCUCUUCUCUCCUCAGUGUGCACUCGCUCUAGGAGGAGUCUCAGCCAACGCCAUGGCUUUGCGUGCCCAUGACUUCCUACUUCUUAUCUCCAGCUCUGGCCUCUCUCUUGAACCUCGGGCUCAGAUCCAGUUCCUGACAAGCGCCCGAACUUAACUGUGGCACCUCUAUUUGGAUGUCCCACAGGCUUCUCACAGCCUCUCAUGCCACCUGGACUUGUCCUGGUCUUCCUCCAUCUGCUCCUCCCUCCCUCAGUGAAGUGUGCCAUCACCCACUUGACCACCCAAAGAGUGGCCGCUGGGUUUGGCUCCAGCAAGUAGUGCCCAGAAAAUCCUCCUGGUUCUUCG